CAGAAUUCAAAACAGUUCCUGCAAAUUUGCCACUGGGUAUGGCAGCCAGGAGCCGACAUGAGAUAGAAAAGCACACAACAUGUGUGCCUUUUACUCGAUUGUGUUCCUUCUAUAACAUGAAAGAGUAAACUAAUGGAAUAAUGGCAGGUGCUGGUCCCACACAAGACAGAUGCUUCAAAGAAUGGAGUCCUUGGAUAGCAUCCCGCGAUGCCUCUCAAGAUUUCAGGCUUAAAUUGGUGGUCUCUCUUUUCUUAUCUGAAAACUGCAUUGAUUUACUAAUUAUUUGUUGAUUCAUUUCAAACUUCAUCUGUAAACUGGACAGAUGCAAUAAUUCUGUCAGCAAGAGAAAAAUUUAUGUCCUGUUCAACCUGGUACAUGUGUUUCUAUAAGCGGCCACUCUCCAAGUGUAGUAUGCAGGGGUAAGCACAGUAAAAUGCUAGUUUUCUGUUCCCUCUAGUCAAAAGACACCCAGUCUACAACCUAUUAAUAUAUGUACUAUAAAAAGCAUUCCAUAAUAAAAUAACUCUGUAAAAAAGUAAA